rnacentral:rRNA from 1 species
UAGUCCACGCCGUAAACGAUGUCUACUAGCCGUUGGGGAACUUGAGUCCUUGGUGGCGCAGCUAACGCACUAAGUAGACCGCCUGGGGAGUACGGCCGCAAGGUUAAAACUCAAAUGAAUUGACGGGGGCCCGCACAAGCGGUGGAGCAUGUGGUUUAAUUCGAUGCAACGCGAAGAACCUUACCAGGUCUUGACAUCCUGCGAAUUUUCUAGAGAUAGAUUAGUGCCUUCGGGAACGCAGUGACAGGUGCUGCAUGGCUGUCGUCAGCUCGUGUCGUGAGAUGUUGGGUUAAGUCCCGUAACGAGCGCAACCCUUGUCCUUAGUUGCCAGCACGUAAUGGUGGGAACUCUAAGGAGACUGCCGGUGACAAACCGGGAGGAAGGUGGGGAUGAUGUCAAGUCAGCAUGGGCCUUUAUGCCUAGGGGCUACACACGUGCUACAAUGGAUGGUACAAUGGGGCAGCUACACAGCGAUGUGAUGCUAAUCUACAAAAAA